GUAGGGUGCAAGCGUUAAUCGGAAUUACUGGGCGUAAAGCGUGCGCAGGCGGUUCUAUAAGACAGAUGUGAAAUCCCCGGGCUCAACCUGGGAACGUGCAUUUGUUGACUGUAGAGCUGGAGUACGGUAGAGGGGGAGUGGAAUUCCGCGUGUAGCAGUGAAAUGCGUAGAUAUGCGGAGGAACACCGAUGGCGAAGGCAAUCCCCUCGGACCUGUACUGACGCUCAUGCACGAAAGCGUGGGAGCAAACAGGAUUAGAUACCCUGGUAGUCCACGCCCUAAACGAUGUCAACUGGUUGUUGGGAAGGUUCCUUCUCAGUAACGUAGCUAACGCGUGAAGUUGACCGCCUGGGGAGUACGGCCGCAAGGUUG
rnacentral:rRNA from 1 species